rnacentral:rRNA from 1 species
AUGGCUUACUAUUCAGAUCAUCAUGCUUAUGCGAGCAACACUACAAACAGCACGGAAAGUAUUCAAGAACUGAUAAGUAAGAUUUCCCAUCAAUUAGAUGAUUUAGCUCGGCAGCAAGAGGUAGUUUUUGAGGAUAGGCCUAGCUCUUAUGAUCCUUAUUCUAGAGGUCAUCCUUAUGUUGCUCCUACAUGCCAUAUUUGUGGAUUUCAGGGCCAUUCACCCGUUGAAUGUCAGCGUGGUUACUCUCAUCCUCCCGAUUGUUAUGUCAUGAGCUUCACCCCACAGCCUAGCUCAUACCAAAACAAUUACACACAUGGGUGGCCUGAAAACCAGAAUAUGUCAUAUAGGAGCAAUAACCCUGAGAUCUCAUCGUUUGCCUCUAGUUAUCCAAUGCAGGGAUUUAGGUAUGAAGAGGAGAGCCACAACUAUGCUCCACAACAGAUUUAUUUAGCUCCUACUCAUAUACCUCAACACCAGGACAUGUUGCCAAUGGAGUUAAAUGGUCCUCCAUUUGGUCAACCAACAUCUUCAACACAAGUGCCCACACAAGAUGACUUUGAUGAUAUAGACAAGCUCACAUUGCUUGGUCUCGAGUUCACUUGGAGUGCCGAAGAUGAUCCAAUUAGGCCUGUGAUACUAGAGGAAAUGAAGAAGAUUAAGAGUGGAAAGGAGCUAGUGGAAGAAGUAAGGAAGAUUGAGAAGAACAUCAACGCUGGCAGUACUAUAUCAUCACAGUUUGAGUUGAGUGUGGCUGAGAUAUCCAUUGAUACAUGUGAGGUUCCAACACCUUCACAUUCAACUGAGCAAGAUAGCGAGAGUCCAGAGGAAGAGAUACUUCAGAUCCAAGAAGAAAUUCUCGAAGCCAAGGCACAAGAUGAUCCAGAGCUCGAACAACAAAGUGAUCAAGUUGAAGACUCAUCAUCUAUUACUCUUGAAGAAGCAAAACAAGUUGAUGUGAUUGAAGAUGAAGAACUAGAAACGCAUUUGCCCAUCGUCAUAUAG